AAAUGUCUUAUUUUAGUAUUUGUCCAGUAGGUUUCCUCAAGGGGAAAGCCCCC
ensembl:snRNA U7 U7 small nuclear RNA